UCACUGACUCACUGGCUUGCCCACUGUCUCUCUGUCUCCAUUGGUGUCGCUCGAAUCCCCAGGCUGACGUUCGGAGGACGGGAACGGGAACGGCACACGCACCGUCUACUCAGCCAUCAGCACCGCAGACAUGUCGGACUCCGAGACCGCCGCCGCAGCCCCCGCCGAGGCCCCGGUUCCUGCUCCUUGCGUCAGUCUCAAAGCCGACCUGGACAAAUGCGUGGCGGAGAAGGGAGAAGAAGCCUGCAAAAGCUUGCUGGAGGCCUUCGAGGCUUGUGUGAAGAGUGUGGCUGAGGGGACAUCAUGAGCCACGAGUUGCCCUCCGAACCUCAAUGUCCACUGCACUGCACUGAGUCCUCCGAGUUCCCAGCAUCCCCUCCUGCACACCGGCACAGGACUAAACGGCGGCGACGACGACGACGACGACGACCGGGGUCACGCCGUGACUCGCACUGCGUCGAUUCGGGCUGCGUCUGGGACCUGGCGGCAGUAACCAUAGUUUCCUCCUGUCCUCCCUCUGUCGAAACCUUUGCUGAUGUCCUUCAGUCUUCCGCCAUUCCCUCUCUCCCUCUGUGGCCGAUGUAAGGUGCAUUGACUUGUUGAUACUUCCAGAGAACUAAUGGCUAGUCCCCGUCAAUUCUUAACUUGAAACGGAAAUAAAAGUACAAAAUGAUUGGUAUACAAAACAAA